rnacentral:rRNA from 1 species
CCUACGGGCGGCUGCAGUGGGGAAUAUUGGACAAUGGGGGCAACCCUGAUCCAGCCAUGCCGCGUGUGUGAAGAAGGCCCUCGGGUUGUAAAGCACUUUCAGUGAGGAAGAACGCCUGGUGGUUAAUACCCAUCAGGAAAGACAUCACUCACAGAAGAAGCACCGGCUAACUCCGUGCCAGCAGCCGCGGUAAUACGGAGGGUGCGAGCGUUAAUCGGAAUUACUGGGCGUAAAGCGCGCGUAGGUGGCUUGAUAAGCCGGUUGUGAAAGCCCCGGGCUCAACCUGGGAACGGCAUCCGGAACUGUCAAGCUAGAGUGCAGGAGAGGAAGGUAGAAUUCCCGGUGUAGAGGUGAAAUGCGUAGAGCUCGGGAGGAAUACCAGUGGCGAAGGCGGCCUUCUGGACUGACACUGACACUGAGGUGCGAAGGCGUGGGUAGCAAACAGGAUUAGAUACCCGGGUAGUC